UUUAAAAAUAAUUUAUUUAUUUAUUGUUUUAGUAUUAAGUAAAAAUUAAUUUUAAGAUUUAUAGUUAAUUAGUAUUGUAAAAGAAUUUAUUUAAAUUAUAAAAAGAAUUUUUAAUAGUACCUUUUGUAUCAGGGUUGAUUAAAAAUUUUUAAUUAUUUUAAAUUUCUCAAAAUUUAUGGAGUUAAUUUUAUUAUAAAUUUAUUGUGGUAUAAAUAUUUAUUAAAUAAUAUUAGUUUUGAAAUUUAAUUCGUUAUAAAAUAUUUAGUUAUUUAAGAUUUAAAUUUAAUUUAAAAAUUUAAAGGUUUAAUUAUUUUAGAUAAAUAAUAUAAUUUUAAAUUUAAAUUAUUUUAGGGAUAAGCUUGAAAUUUAUAUAUAAUUUUUCUUUUUUUAAUAAUAUAUAGGAAUAGAAAUUUUUAUUUUAAGUUUGUAAAAAUUUAUUAUUUUUAAAUAUUUUAUUUACUAUAAAUUAAAAUUUAUUUUUAAUAUUAAAUUAUAUUAAUUAAUAAAUAAUUAAUAGUAAUAAUGAUUAAAUUAGUAUAAUAUGUAAUUAUAAAUUAUGAAUUCGGCAAAUAAUAUUUUCAUCUGUUUAACAAAAACAUUGUAUUAAGUUUUAUUUAAUAUAGGAUCUGCUCAAUGAUUUUAUUAAAUAGCUGCAGUAUUUUGACUGUGCAAAG
rnacentral:rRNA from 1 species